rnacentral:rRNA from 1 species
UGCGUAGGCGGAUUAAUAAGUCAGUGGUGAAAUCUCUCGGCUCAACCGGGAAACUGCCAUUGAUACUGUUAGUCUUGAGUUCGGUUGAGGUAGGCGGAAUGUGUAAUGUAGCGGUGAAAUGCUUAGAUAUUACACAGAACACCAAUUGCGUAGGCAGCUUACUAGACCGACACUGACGCUGAGGCACGAAAGCGUGGGGAGCGAACAGGAUUAGAUACCCUGGUAGUC